UUCGCAGUGGCCACCAGGGGGAGCUGUGUGCGCCGGCUCGUUAGAGAACGGGGUGAAAACCGUUAGACCGGUAGAAGCAGCUCUGUCCUGCUAGCUACGGUGCUAACGGGCCUAACGGUUUUCUGCCGUCCUCAACAGRAGAUUUCUGAGACAAUCUGUGGAGCUCGUUCGGGCUCCGUGAGGAACUGCGGGGCUUGGGCCAGUCAGGGUGAAUGGCCCGUUGCCUUCCGACAUUUUGAGUUGUAAGCAAAGUUUACUUCGCCACAUGCGUGCUCCAUAAGAGGAAUGGCAAAGACACAAUGCAAGCAGUUUCCUGCUGUCGCCCCCUGCUGGUCAGGAGGACUGAACGCUGCUCUGCUGGGUUUCCUAGAAACUUUAUCUUUCUUUUAAUAAUAAACUGAACUUCCUGCUCUAACUGGGAUCAGCUGGAGCGUAUGAUGACUGGACUGAAAUGAUUUUUUGUAAAGAGCGACAUGCUGAUGGAUAUUCUUGGAAUAAUCAUGUAAACUAACAGGCAGAACCAUGAGACGUGUCACAUUCAUCUCCUUUAUCAGCCGAGUUAAAUUAGGAAGGAGCACCUGUCCACCGCCACACACACACACACACACACACACACACUGAGCUUCGCAGGGUCGACAUUCUGCUCUGAUUCCAGUCUCCUCAUGUUUGCUCAUGUCGGUCGCGGUUCGCAUGCCGGACCUUAGUGUUCUGGUGAUGCCUUCACUGACGGCUCAGAAUAAAUAAACAUACCCGGAUCAGAUCACAGAGAGCCUGAGCUUCCUGGUGCCUUCAGCUCUUUUCUGGGUCAUUACACGUCAUUUCUUCUGCAGUUAUGCUGCCACUGGAGAACAAGAUGGCCGCUUCUCACUCUGCUACUUUUUCCUACUACUCUCCAGCUAUUGCAUCAUCCUUCGCUAAAGCUGAGCCUGGUUCUGGUUUCUUACUGUGAGAAUGUUUCUCUCCACAGUCGCCUCAUGCUUGCUCAGCAUGACAGACGGUAAAGAUUUGAUGUAAUCUGCAGCGCUGGAGCCUCAGGAAGCUAAAAUUCUAACGAUCGAUGAAUGAUUUUAAAAUAGGUUUUAAAAUGUUUUAGUUUUUUCAUGGAAAAGCUGAAUUAUAUUUUCACCAAUAAUAUUUUUAGAUCUUUAGAAA